rnacentral:rRNA from 1 species
AACGAACGCUGGCGGCGUGGAUAAGGCAUGCAAGUCGAACGAUCCCGCAAGGGAUAGUGGCAGAAGGGUUAGUAACGCGUGGGUAAUCUACCUUCAAGUGGGGGAUAACCUUCCGAAAGGAGGGCUAAUACCGCAUAACAUUGUUGUCGCGCAUGCGAUGAUAAUCAAAGAUGGCUCGUAAGGGCUGUCGCUAGAUGAUGAGCCCGCGUCCUAUCAGCUAGNGGUGGGGUGAUGGCCUACCAAGGCGACGACGGGUAGCCGGCCUGAGAGGGCGACCGGCCACACUGGGACUGAGACACGGCCAGACUCCUACGGGAGGCAGCAGUGGGGAAUCUUGCGCAAUGGGCGAAAGCCUGACGCAGCGACGCCGCGUGAGGGAUGACGGCCUGGU